UUUUUUUUUUUUUGUUUUUUAUAGUAAACCAUAGAUAUCUCCUAUCCCAGUGGGCUAGGUCUAAUCUUGUUCGCGUCGGAAAGGCCCAUUAUGAGGGUAAAACACUUCCAACGGGGAUUUUCUCCAUUCACAGGACUCGAACAAUUAACCUUGCUUAAGGGAUACAGAAGCACUUCAAUUUUUUUUUACAUAUAUUUAUAUUACACUCACACAAAAUAAAAUAAAUAAGCUAUAGUUAUCCUUAAAGGUGAGUAUGGAUAGCUGUUACCAAUGACAGCCAGAAAUGAUAAGCAGUGAUUAUUAAUCUGAUGGAUACAUUAAUAACUUGUAUAGGUUUCAUCCGUUUUACGAAUGUUAAAAAAUGAAAAAUGACUUCCCAUUUUAUGAAGACUUCGAAAACAAACGUUUUCACAAAACAAACGGAGCAAAGAGACGCUUCUACUUACUUAACAAGGAGUAAUUAUAUCCUACCUCAACUAUACAAUAUAGGAUUAAUAUAUGGAAUGACAAACAAAUCAAAUCGUAAAUCAACAACAAUUAUAUCUCUAUGCUACUUGCCACAAAAUCGAACAUACUAUACAAAUUCCAUGAAUUUGAGAUUCCCUUAAAUUUUCUCAGUAAUUGAUAUGUGUGUAAUUGUUUGUUUACAUAGUUUAUUCUUGAUUAUUAAGAUCCUAAGAAAUACCAAAUAUGUCUUCAUAGGAAAGCACAAAUAAUCUCGUACCAUAUGAAAGUUACUGUUGGAAUUUAGUUG
rnacentral:misc_RNA from 1 species